UGGCGAUUGCUACGGUAACGUUACUGAAGCGCUACGAUCAUGCUGUUGGUUUGGGCAUAUUAACGUCGUUGCUUUAGGCUACGGUAACGCUUGUCUAACUGAACGUCCAUUGUGUUUACAUAUAGUGUAGUAGGUGUAUUCUGAAAAUCUUCUCACUUUUUGCAUAUUAGUGAAGUUGUUAGUAUUUAAAAUGUCAACAAAGAAGAGAAGGAUAGAGCAAGAAAACCGUAGGUUUAAAAGCGAAUGGACUGAGACUUAUGCAUUUGUAGAAAAUGAAGAAGGAUUACCAAUGUGUUUAAUAUGCCAUGAGAGGCUUUCAAACAAUAAAAAAUCAAAUAUAGAAAGACAUUUUUUAAAUAAACACAAUAUAUUUGAUAAGGCAUAUCCAGUGGGAGAUGAAAGAAAAGAAGCAGUAGAAGAACUGCAAUGCAAGAUAAACAUAAUUAAGUGUUUGGAAAAUAAAUCUAAAAAAGCAUCAAGAGAUACAACUGUUGCUAGCUUUGUCGCCACUCAAGAACUUGUUAAACGAGGAAAACCAUUUACUGAUGGUGAAUAUUUGAAAGACUGUUUCAUUAAAAUGUCUGAAUAUCUUUUCUGUGAUUUUGAAAACAGAUCGCAAAUAAUUACAAAAAUAAAAGACAUGCCAUUAUCUGCUAAAGUUGUAAGGGACAGGACUAUACGAAUGGCAGAAGAUAUAACAAUUCAGCAAGUUAUAGAUCUAAAUUCUGCACCAUUAUUCUCAAUUGCCUGUGACCAAUUAUGUGAUGUUGAUGACAAUGCACAGAUUGUACUUAUUUGUAGAUACAUAACCCCUCAAGGACCUCGAGAAGAAUUAUUAGAUAUACUGCCACUUACAGGACAAAUCUGUGGAGAAUACAUUGAAUCUGCUAUUAUUACUUGCUUUGAAAGUAGGGGUAUUGAUAUUAAUAAAAUAAUAUCUAUUGUAACUGAUGGGUCACCGAACAUGAAAGAUACACAAACAGGUUUUGUUUCUUUAUUUAAAAGACACAUUUUUCAUGAUGUGUUUUCCUUUCAUUGCAUAAUCCAUCAAGAGAUACUGUGUGCACAAACCUUUCCAAUGGAGAUAACAGUGGUGAUGGAUUUGGUUGUAGAAAUUGUUAACAAAAUAAUGGCAAAACAGCUACAUCAUCAGCAAUUUAGUGAACUUCUUAAUGAAAUAAAUUGUGAAUAUUCUGAUCUCCUUUUGCAUAAUAGAAUUAGAUGGAUUUAUAGUAGUGCAGUGUUGAAGCAAUUUGCCACCUGUCUUGGAGAGAUUAAGUUGUUCUUAAGCCAAAAAGACCCUCAAUAUGCGCAAUUAGAAGAUACUCUUUGGUUACAAAAAUUCUAUUUUAUGGUGGAUAUGACCUCCCAUUUAAACACACUAAAUAAGAAACUUCAGGAAAAGGGAAAUACGGUAGUUUUGCUUUUAGAAGAAGUGAUUUCAUUUGAUCGAAAAUUAUAUUUAUUUCAAACAGACUUGGAGAAAGGCAAAUUGUUACAUUUUCCUAUGUUGAAGGAAUAUCAACAAGAACAAGCUGAUAAUAAUUCUAUAAAUUUAAUUUUUUUCAAAGAAAUUGUGGUAAAUAUGCGAUCUGAAUUUAAUGGGAGAUUUGAGGAGUUUAGAAAGAACAAGCUGACAAUAUCAUUUUUAUUGCGACCACUUGAAAUUAAUCCUGAUGAAUUAUUUUUUUCACCUUUUGUUGGAAUUGAUGAGGCUGCAUUUCAACUUGAGUUAGAGGAUUUGAGAUACAAGGAUUUGUGGAAUUCGAAAUUUAAAUAUCUUAUAGCUGAUCUGGAGGAGUUGGAAAGACAAAAAUCUACCCUUGCUUUACAACAGAACUGGUCUGAAAUAGAAGAACUUAAAACGCAAGAUCAGAUUGUGUUUGAAACGUGGAAUUGUUUACCGGACACUUACAUUCAAUUAAAAUCAUACGCAUUUGGACUUUUAUCGAUUUUCGGAUCGACAUAUUACUGUGAGAAAUUCUUUUCUAAUAUGAAUUGUAUUAAAAGUAAGUUGAGAAACCAAUUAAACAACGUGAGUCUCUCGUCCUGUUUAAAAAUGAAAGUUACGGCGUAUUCUCCGCAAAUUGAGAUGCUAUCGGAGAGUUAAGGCUUAACCCAGGGGUCGGCAACCCUAUUGGAGCAAAGAGCCAUUUUUUUUAAAUUAUAUCUAUUAACUAGAACCAAUAAAUUGUUUAGCAAUUAAUCAUUCAAAGAGCCGCAGGUUGCCGACCCAUAGCAAAUUCAUCAGAAAUUUAUCAUAAAUAAGAACUCCAGUAGUUCGAGGACAACCAAAGUCGGGAAGAUUUUGGAAAAGUGAAAAGCAAAAGUUCUCCCGAAUU